rnacentral:misc_RNA from 1 species
UUAAGUUCAGCGGGUAUUCCUACCCGAUCCGAGGUCAACCUAAUCGAAUUUCGAUUGAAAUUCAUGGGUUCUAACGGCGUGGUCCGCUCCCAUCGCUAGCGAGAAGUGUGUCACAACGCUAAGACGGGCGACGGCCAGCCGGUGAAAUGGGGGCGCGAGGACUCUCGUCGCCCAAUACCAAGCUGAGCUUGAGGGUUGUA